GGAUGGAAUGACCCUUCGGGGGAAUGAAAUCCUAGAAAGUGGCGAACGGGUGAGUAACGCGUGGGUAACCUGCCCUAUGGAAAGGAAUAGCCUCGGGAAACUGGGAGUAAUGCCUUAUAAUAUACGAGAGUCGCAUGGCUUUUGUAUUAAACGCUCCGGUGCCAUAGGAUGGACCCGCGUCCCAUUAGCUAGUUGGUGAGAUAACAGCCCACCAAGGCAACGAUGGGUAACCGGUCUGAGAGGGCGAACGGUCACACUGGAACUGAGACACGGUCCAGACUCCUACGGGAGGCAGCAGUGGGGAAUAUUGCGCAAUGGGGGCAACCCUGACGCAGCAAUACCGCGUGAGUGAAGAAGGUUUUCGGAUCGUAAAGCUCUGUUAUUGGGGAAGAAAAAAGACGGUACCCAAGAAGAAAGUCCCGGCUAACUACGUGCCAGCAGCCGCGGUAAUACGUAGGGGACAAGCGUUGUCCGGAUUUACUGGGCGUAAAGGGCACGCAGG
rnacentral:rRNA from 1 species